UCGGAAUUACUGGGCGUAAGCGCACGCAGGCGGUCUGUCAAGUCGGAUGUGAAAUCCCCGGGCUCAACCUGGGAACUGCAUUCGAAACUGGCAGGCUAGAGUCUUGUAGAGGGGGGUAGAAUUCCAGGUGUAGCGGUGAAAUGCGUAGAGAUCUGGAGGAAUACCGGUGGCGAAGGCGGCCCCCUGGACAAAGACUGACGCUCAGGUGCGAAAGCGUGGGGAGCAAACAGGAUUAGAUACCCUGGUAGUCCACGCCGUAAACGAUGUCGACUUGGAGGUUGUGCCCUUGAGGCGUGGCUUCCGGAGCUAACGCGUUAAGUCGACCGCCUGGGGAGUACGGCCGCAAGGUUAAAACUCAAAUGAAUUGACGGGGGCCCGCACAAGCGGUGGAGCAUGUGGUUUAAUUCGAUGCAACGCGAAGAACCUUACCUACUCUUGACAUCCAGAGAACUUUGCAGAGAUGCAUUGGUGCCUUCGGGAACUCUGAGACAGGUGCUGCAUGGCUGUCGUCAGCUCGUGUUGUGAAAUGUUGGGUUAAGUCCCGCAACGAGCGCAACCCUUAUCCUUUGUGCCAGCGGUCAGGCCGGGAACUCAAAGGAGACUGCCAGUGAUAAACUGGAG
rnacentral:rRNA from 1 species